CCUACGGGGGGCUGCAGUGGGGAAUAUUGGACAAUGGGGGCAACCCUGAUCCAGCCAUGCCGCGUGUGUGAAGAAGGCCCUCGGGUUGUAAAGCACUUUCAGUGAGGAAGAACGCCUGGUGGUUAAUACCCAUCAGGAAAGACAUCACUCACAGAAGAAGCACCGGCUAACUCCGUGCCAGCAGCCGCGGUAAUACGGAGGGUGCGAGCGUUAAUCGGAAUUACUGGGCGUAAAGCGCGCGUAGGUGGCUUGAUAAGCCGGUUGUGAAAGCCCCGGGCUCAACCUGGGAACGGCAUCCGGAACUGUCAAGCUAGAGUGCAGGAGAGGAAGGUAGAAUUCCCGGUGUAGCGGUGAAAUGCGUAGAGAUCGGGAGGAAUACCAGUGGCGAAGGCGGCCUUCUGGACUGACACUGACACUGAGGUGCGAAAGCGUGGGUAGCGAACAGGAUUAGAUACCCGUGUAGUC
rnacentral:rRNA from 1 species